GAUGAACGCUAGCUACAGGCUUAACACAUGCAAGUCGAGGGGAAACGGCAUCGAAAGCUUGCUUUUGAUGGGCGUCGACCGGCGCACGGGUGAGUAACGCGUAUCCAACCUGCCCAUCACUUGGGAAUAACCUUGCGAAAGUAAGACUAAUGCCCAAUGACAUCCCACGAAGGCAUCCGAAUGGGAUUAAAGAUUUAUCGGUGAUGGAUGGGGAUGCGUCUGAUUAGCUUGUUGGCGGGGUGACGGCCCACCAAGGCAACGAUCAGUAGGGGUUCUGAGAGUAAGGUCCCCCACAUUGGAACUGAGACACGGUCCAAACUCCUACGGGAGGCAGCAGUGAGGAAGAUUGGUCAAUGGGCGAGAGCCUGAACCAGCCAAGUAGCGUGCAGGAUGACGGCCCUAUGGGUUGUAAACUGCUUUUAGAAGGGAAUAAAGUGGGUCACGUGUGACUUUUUGCAUGUACCUUAUGAAUAAGGACCGGCUAAUUCCGUG
rnacentral:rRNA from 1 species